AACGAACGCUGGCGGCAUGCCUAACACAUGCAAGUCGAACGAGACCUUCGGUCUAGUGGCGCACGGGUGCGUAACGCGUGGGAACCUGCCUUUAGGUUCGGAAUAACUCAGAGAAAUUUGAGCUAAUACCGGAUAAUGUCUUCGGACCAAAGAUUUAUCGCCUUUAGAUGGGCCCGCGUAAGAUUAGCUAGUUGGUGGGGUAAAGGCCUACCAAGGCGACGAUCUUUAGCUGGUCUGAGAGGAUGAUCAGCCACACUGGGACUGAGACACGGCCCAGACUCCUACGGGAGGCAGCAGUGGGGAAUAUUGCGCAAAUGGGCGAAAGCCUGACGCAGCGACGCCGCGUGGGUGAUGAAGGCCUGUCGUAAGACC
rnacentral:rRNA from 1 species